UACAGGGGGUGCAAGCGUUGCUCGGAAUCAUUGGGCGUAAAGCGCACGUAGGCGGUUCGGUAUGUCGGAUGUGAAAGCCCUUGGCUUAACCGAGGAAGUGCAUCCGAAACUGGCGAGCUAGAGUGCUAAAGAGGAUCGCGGAAUUCCCGGUGUAGAGGUGAAAUUCGUAGAUAUCGGGAGGAACACCGGUGGCGAAGGCGGCGAUCUGGGUAGAUACUGACGCUGAGGUGCGAAAGCGUGGGGAGCAAACAGG
rnacentral:rRNA from 1 species